GUUAAGCGACUAAGCGUACACGGUGGAUGCCCUGGCAGUCAGAGGCGAUGAAGGACGUGCUAAUCUGCGAUAAGCGUCGGUAAGGUGAUAUGAACCGUUAUAACCGGCGAUUUCCGAAUGGGGAAACCCAGUGUGUUUCGACACACUAUCAUUAACUGAAUCCAUAGGUUAAUGAGGCGAACCGGGGGAACUGAAACAUCUAAGUACCCCGAGGAAAAGAAAUCAACCGAGAUUCCCCCAGUAGCGGCGAGCGAACGGGGAGCAGCCCAGAGCCUGAAUCAGUGUGUGUGUUAGUGGAAGCGUCUGGAAAGGCGCGCGAUACAGGGUGACAGCCCCGUACACAAAAAUGCACAUGCUGUGAGCUCGAUGAGUAGGGCGGGACACGUGGUAUCCUGUCUGAAUAUGGGGGGACCAUCCUCCAAGGCUAAAUACUCCUGACUGACCGAUAGUGAACCAGUACCGUGAGGGAAAGGCGAAAAGAACCCCGGC
rnacentral:rRNA from 1 species